UCCUACAUUUGUACGAAAUAAAAACAAAGGUUUGCUAUAGUUAGGUUUCGGGCUGGGGUUAAAGAUGGGUUAGUGAGAGGGAUACAACAGCCAAUCAUAGUGCAGCAACGCGUGUCUUGGAGCAAAUAAUAGCGCAAUGUCCUGCCAAGAAAUGCCCUGCCAAGAAGCGCGUGAGAUUACUUUAGCGCGUUGAUGGCUGCCUUUGAGAGAGAUAAUGCUACGUCAUCAUCCCGCGCCGUCACCUGGGUUGAAAGGUCAUGUUACCCGCUUCAUUUGAAUAAGUUCACAACACGAAGAAGGAAAAAAAACAAAGACAAAGAAGCGCAACAAGAAGCAGUUUUGCGCAACACCGACGACUAGUCGUUGCCCUCGACAGGUUCAACAGGUUAUUUGGAGGAUCGCUGAAGAAGAUGACGAUGAUUGAGAUCAAGAUGUGCCCAAAGCGUGCCAUCUAGCGGCCGGCAUGGACUCCAGGCUGCUGAUUGGCUGGCAGCGGGAGAGGGCGGAGCUCCGGGAGGAGGUGCGCCUGCUGCAGGAGGAGCUGGCCGAGAGUCGCGCCGAGCGGGAGGAGCUGGCGUCCAGGGCCAGGGCGCUACGUGAGAGGCUAGAGCAGCCAGUGUCUCCCUCGCUCACCCACAGCCACCAUGCGGAGGAGGAGCAGUGCGAGAUGAGGAGGCGCAACAGGGAAGCCCGGGAAAGGGAGGCCCGACAGGCGCUACUUGUGUACCGGCUACAGAACAAGGUGAUGGAGUACAGAGAGCGAUGUCAAAGUUUGGAGUUUCAACUGAAGUCAGAACACGGCCAGCUGAUAAACACACAGAUGAGUAUGAGAAGGGACGCUUCUGAGUCGUUGGAGAGCGCCCUCAUCAGCCUGGAGGAGGAACAGCAAAGGGCAGCGGGCCUGGCCCAGACCGCCUCCGUCCUGCGCCUGCAGCUCAGCCAAUCGGAGCAGGCCAACGACAUCCUGAGAGAUGACGUCCGCAAGCUGACGUCCGAUUUGAAAAGAGCUCUGGAGGAGGCGGAGCGGCGAGCGGCCCGUUGGCAGAAAGAGCGAGAGUGUGCGUCAAGUGAGAUGGCGCAGCAUCAGGAUCAGCUGUGGUGUGUGUGGAGGCGCAUGAUGUCGCUCAGACAACAUUGUCGCGCCGUCAGGACCGCCGCUGACAGGGAUCUGUUGGAGAUGAGGGGGGAGUUGUGCCGCGUGCGCUUGUGCCUUCAGUCCAGCUGCGACUCGGCCUCUUUGGACCUCAUCAAAAUGUACCGUCCGCCGCCGUCGGCCCUCGCCUCCUCCUUGGUGGCCUCCUCCUCCUCCUCAGCGGCCCCUCCCUCCGCCUCCUCCACUCUCGGGACCUUCACUGUGGGAGAAAUGCUGGAGGCCGAGUCAGAGGACAGGAUGCGGGACAGCGAGGGCUCGCCGGAGGUUGUGGCUCAGGCUGUCGGCAAGCCGUGCGGCGUGUUGAAGGCGAGCGCCCCGUUGCAGUCCGUCCUCGGUCGGGACUCGUCUUCCCUGCUGUCGGUUCUCUCGCAGACGGAGAGCGCCGUGCAAUGGAGUCGGCGGGAAAUGCGGGAUGACACCCGCAAACUGCACAAACAACAAGACGCGCGCACCGCCGGCAGGCAGCAGGAGGCCGCACCGCCGGUGGAGGCGGAGCUACGCAUGAGGGACGAGGAGCUCUGUAAGGGAGAAGCGGAGCUUCGCGGCAAGGAGGCUGAGCUCCAAAAGAUAAAGGAGGCGCUGCGGUGGGAGGAAGAGGAGGUGCUCGGCAAGGAGGCGGCGCUUCACAGGAGAGCUGGGGAGUUGCGGAAACAAGAGGAGGAGCUACUGGAGCGAGAGGACGAGGUAGACAAGAGAGAGGAAGAGGUGCUAGCCAAGGAGGCGGCGCUACACAAAGGUAAGGAGGAGCUGCAGGAGAGAGAGCAGGAGGUUCAGAAGAGGCAAGAGGAACUACAGACCAGAGAGGAGGAUGUGCACAAAGGACAGCAGGAGCUACACAAGAGAGAGGAGGUGCAUAAAGUACUAGACAAAAGAGAGGAGGAGGUCCUAAAAAGGGAGCAGGAGCUACAGGAGAAAUGGGAGGAGGUGCAGAAGAGAGAAGAGGGGGUGCAAAAGACUGAAGAGGAGGCACAUCAAGGAGAGGAAAUGCUAGAUGGAAGGGAGCAGGAGCUACAGAUGAAGCAAGAGGAGUUGCAGAAGAGAGAGGAGGAUGUGCAAGAAGAACUGGAGGAGGUGCAGAAGAGUUUUGACGCCGAGCUGCUGCAAAGAGAACGCGUCGUCCGAGAUGUGAAGGGGGCGUUGGAGCGAGAAGAGCUGGCCAGGGUGAGAGCAGAAGAAGAAGCGGCGGCCGUCAGAGACUCCCUACUUAAGCGCUCCUCCCAGCAUGCCUCGGUGCUACAGGAGCUGAAGGAGGCGCAGGAGCAGCUGCAGCUGGCGUCCGAGGAGAUGGCCAGGAUAGAACGUGUGCACGAGGAGCAGCGGCGAGAGAGCGGGAGGCUGCGCGAGGCGCAGGACGCGCUGCGCAGACAGCGGGAGCUCCACCAGCAGGAGGCGCAGGAGCUCCGGAGUCGCUCGGCAUCCCUCCAGGAGCAGCUUGAGGAGCAACACACGCAGCUGUCGCACGCCAACCUGGAGCGCAGCCACCUCAGCGCAAACGUGCGCACCCUGCAGGAGGCCAAGGAGGCGCUCAGUGGCGAACUCCGAUGUCUACGGGAGGAGCUGUGCAGAGUCACCUCCAAAAAGGAGAACCACCAGACGGAGAAAGAGGAGGCCUGGAAGAGAGAGAAGGAGCAGCUAAGGAAGGAGUUGGGAACCAAAGACGGUGAGGUGGACACUCUGAGGAGGCGCGUGGAAGGCCUACAGGAGGAAAUAAAGGAACAGGAGGAGGUGGCGUCCAAGGAGAAGAAAGCUCUGGUAGCAGAAGGAGAAAUGAUGCAACUGGAGGAGGAACAAAAGAUGAAAGAGUUGGAGAGCCUGAGGAGGCGCAUGGAAGUGUUACUGAAGGAGCGGGAGGAGCAAGUAGAGCAACUGACGAAGGAGUUAGGAACAAAAGACGGGGAGAUGGAGACUCAGAGGAGGCGCGUUGAAGGACUACUGGCCGAAAUGAAGGAGCAGAAGGAGCAACUCGGGAAGGAGUUAAGAACAAAGGGCGAGGAGGUGGCGACCCUGACGAGGCGCAUGGAAGGCCUGCAGGAAGAAAUAAAGCAGCAGGAAGAGGCCGCGUCUAAGGAGAAGAAAGCGCUGGUGGCAGAAGGAGAAAGGAAGCAGUUGGAGGAGGAAACCAUAGCGAAGCAGUUGGAGACACUGAGGAGGCGUGUGGAAGUGCUACUGAAGGAAAUGAAGGACCAGGAGGAGCAGACGGAGCAACUCAGGGACGAGUUGGCAAUAAAGAACGAGGAGCUGGAGACCCUGAGGAGGCGCGUGGAAGUGCUACUGAAGGAAAUGAAGGAGCAGGAGGAUCAGGUGGAGCAACUCAGGGACAAGUUGACAACAAAGAAUGAGGAGUGGGAGACCCUGAAGAGGCGUGUGGAGGAAAUGAAAGAGGAGCAGCUCAGGGAGGCGCAGAAAGCUGUGGUGGCAGAAGAAAAAAAGCGACUGGAGGAGGACGCAAAGGGAAAGGAGGAGCUGAGGAGGGAGCAGCAAACAGAGUUGCUCCGCUCUGGCAUCACGCAGCUGGAAAAGGAGAAGGAGAAGGCGGAGGAGCUUAAGGAGGCGCACAUGAGGGAAGUCCGGGAGAAGGAGGAGGAGCUGCGGCGAGUUGGAGAAGGCCUGAGGUUGGCAGUGCUCCGGCAGGAGGAGCAAACCGGCGAGCUUCGGGAGGCCGAACGAAAGCUGAAGGAAAAGGAGGUCAGAGCGGAGGAGCUGGAGCUCCUGCUCGCAGAAACGCAGUGCAGGAGCAACAAGGAGGAGGCCCGGAAAACUGUAGAGCAGGAAUGGAGGGAAAAAGCUGAACGGGAAGCUGCCAAGAUCACGCGUGAGCUGAAGGAGCGGGAGCAGGAGGUGCUGAAGCUGAAAAGUAUGCUGGUGGAGGAGCAGCAGUUGAGAAGCGCACAGGAGAAGCGGAACGAGGAGGAGGUCCAGAAGCUCAGAAAUGUGCUGCAGAAGCAAAGAGAGGAGAAGGAGGAGGAGGUCCAGCAAGCAAGUAGCAUGAAAGAGGAGCGAGUGGAGGAGGUCCAGAAGCUCAGUAGCAUGCUGAAAGACCGGGAGGAGGAGGUCCAGGAGCUCAGAAGCUUGCUGCUGAAACAAAAAGAGGAGGAGAAGCAAGAGGUCCAGCAGCUGAGUAGAGUGAAGGAGGAGCGAGAGGAGGAGUUGCAGAAGCUGAAACGUGUGCUGCGGGAGCGGGAGGAGGAGGUCCUGAAGCUCAGGAGCAUACAGGAGAAGCAAGAGGAGGAAACUCACAAGCUGAGAAUGGUGCUGCAGGAGCAGGAGGUCCUGAAGCUCAGGAGCAUACAGGAGGAGCUGGAUGAGGAGGUGCAGGAGCGAAAAGAGGAGGAGGUCCAACAGCCAAUUAGAGAGGAGGAGGAGGAGCGACAGGAGGAGUUGCACAAGCUCAAAAGCAUGUCAAGAGGGCAAGAGGAGGAGAAGGAGGAGGCCACGAAACUGAGAAGCUUACAGGAAAAGUUUGAGGAGGAGGUCCAGAAGCUCAGUAGCAUGCUGCAAGACCGUGAGGAGGAGGUUCAGGAGCUCAGAAGCUUGCUGCAGAAAGAAAAAGAGGAGGAGGAGCAAGAGGUCCAGCAGCUGAGUAGAGUGAAGGAGGAGCGAGAGGAGGAGUUGCAGAAGCUGAAACGUGUGCUGCUUGAGCGGGAGGAGGAGGUCCUGAAGCUCAGGAGCAUACAGGAGGAGCUGGAUGAGGAGGUGCAGGAGCGAAAAGAGGAGGAGGUCCAACAGCCAAUUAGAGAGGAGGAGGAGGAGCGACAGGAGGAGUUGCACAAGCUCAAAAGCAUGUCAAGAGGGCAAGAGGAGGAGAAGGAGGAGGCCACAAAGCUGAGAAUCUUCCAGGAAAAGUUUGAGGAGGAGGUCCAGAAGCUCAGUAGCAUGCUGCAAGACCGUGAGGAGGAGGUUCAGGAGCUCAGAGGCUUGCUGCAGAAACAAAAAGAGGAGGAGGAGCAAGAGGUCCAGCAGCUGAGUAGAGUGAAGGAGGAGCGAGAGGAGGAGUUGCAGAAGCUGAAACGUGUGCUGCGGGAGCGGGAGGAGGAGGUCCUGAAGCUCAGGAGCAUACAGGAGAAGCAAGAGGAGGAAACUCACAAGCUGAGAAUGGUGCUGCAGGAGCAGGAGGUCCUGAAGCUCAGGAGCAUACAGGAGGAGCUGGAUGAGGAGGCGCAGGAGCGAAAAGAGGAGUGCCAGCAGCCAAUUAGAGAGGAGGAGGAGGAGCGACAGGAGGAGUUGCACAAGCUCAAAAGCAUGUCAAGAGGGCAAGAGGAGGAGAAGGAGGAUGCCACAAAGCUGAGAAUCUUACAGGAAAAGUUUGAGGAGGAGGUCCAGAAGCUCAGUAGCAUGCUGCAAGACCGUGAGGAGGAGGUUCAGGAGCUCAGAGGCUUGCUGCAGAAACAAAAAGAGGAGGAGGAGCAAGAGGUCCAGCAGCUGAGUAGAGUGAAGGAGGAGCGAGAGGAGGAGUUGCAGAAGCUGAAACGUGUGCUGCGGGAGCGGGAGGAGGAGGUCCUGAAGCUCAGGAGCAUACAGGAGAAGCAAGAGGAGGAAACUCACAAGCUGAGAAUGGUGCUGCAGGAGCAGGAGGUCCUGAAGCUCAGGAGCAUACAGGAGGAGCUGGAUGAGGAGGCGCAGGAGCGAAAAGAGGAGUGCCAGCAGCCAAUUAGAGAGGAGGAGGAGGAGCGACAGGAGGAGUUGCACAAGCUCAAAAGCAUGUCAAGAGGGCAAGAGGAGGAGAAGGAGGAGGCCACGAAACUGAGAAGCUUACAGGAAAAGUUUGAGGAGGAGGUCCAGAAGCUCAGUAGCAUGCUGCAAGACCGUGAGGAGGAGGUUCAGGAGCUCAGAAGCUUGCUGCAGAAACAAAAAGAGGAGGAGGAGCAAGAGGUCCAGCAGCCGAGUAGAGUGAAGGAGGAGCGAGAGGAGGAGUUGCAGAAGCUGAAACGUGUGCUACGGGAGCGGGAGGAGGAGGUCCUGAAGCUCAGGAGCAUACAGGAGAAGCAAGAGGAGGAAACUCACAAGCUGAGAAUGGUGCUGCAGGAGCAGGAGGUCCUGAAGCUCAGGAGCAUACAGGAGGAGCUGGAUGAGGAGGUGCAGGAGCGAAAAGAGGAGGAGGUCCAACAGCCAAUUAGAGAGGAGGAGGAGGAGCGACAGGAGGAGUUGCACAAGCUCAAAAGCAUGUCAAGAGGGCAAGAGGAGGAGAAGGAGGAGGCCACGAAACUGAGAAGCUUACAGGAGGAGGUCCAGAAGCUGAAAUGUGCACUGCAGGAGCGGGAGGAGGAGGUCCAGAGGCUGAGAGAGGUGCACUGGAGACGUCCCGAAGGGAGGAGCCAGCAGGAAGACAGUCCUGAAGAAGAGGAGCGGAAGGAGCCCGAAGCGGAGGUGCCGGGGCAGGGGGAUGAGUCGGAGAACGCCGGGCCGGAUAAUCAAGUGACAAGGGUCAGGGAGGAGGUGCAUGCAGCUCAGGAGGAGCUGAUGAGGACCAAAGAAGAGCUCUCCAUUCUAAGAGAGGAGGUCCGCAAAGAUGAACGGCAGAAGCGAGAAUCACGGGAGGAGUUACGGCGGCGCGAGGAGGAGGCGCGGCUCCUCGAAGCGGACGUGAAGGCCAAAGAGGAGGAGAAGGAGGAAGCGCAGGAGAAGCUGCUGAGGACUGAAGAGGAGGCCGAGGCUCUCAGGGAGGCUGUGAGGAGGGAAGCCACGAGGCGCCAGGAGGUGCAAGAGGAGCUGAGAGGAGCGCAGAACAUGCUACACGACAUGGCGCGCAACUUCCGGGCCCUGCAGGAACAGGUCAACGACAGCCGGGGGAAGGCCAGGGACGAGGAGGAGGAGGCGACGGGGACGCUGCGCAGACUCCUGCAGGAGAGCCGUGAGGAGGAGGAGCAUCUCAGGAGUGCCCUCGAGAAGGAGGCGGGCCAGACCGACCGGGACGGAGGAGCUGAAGUCCAAGGCGAGGAGCGGGGGAAGACGAGGAGCAGAGAGGCAGGAGAACGGUGGAGCACCGAGGAGGAAGAGAGGUUGAGGCCAGAGGAAGAGAGGAAGUUCCAGGAGGAGAAGAGGUGCCGUGAGGAGGAGUAUUUGACCACAGAGGAGGACAAGCGCAAUGAAGAGAAUAGUUGGAGGACGCUCCAGGAGGAGGAGCAGAUGCUGGAGGUGGAGGUGGGCCAUGAGAGGAGGUGCAUUUGGGACGAGAGCAAAAGCAGUCCGAGGAGCUCUGAGGAGGAGCAGGAACACUUGAAGGAGGAGGAGGAGGAGUUGAGAAGCUCCACGGAGGAGCCGAGGAGGCGGCACAGGCAAACGCAGGCUCGGGUGGCGAGGCCGAGGCAGGACGAGGAGCAUCCCCGCCGGGCUCCGGGACGGCCCGAGGCCGAGGCGGCGGUCCACGGGGAGCGGUGGCGGCGGCGCGACGGGGGCGGAGCUAGACUGCUGCUGCUGCAGAGUCGCGUGGCUCGCCUGGAAAUCAAGCUGGAGCGCGCGCACAACAAGAAAGUCAAACUGAAAGAAAACAACAACAAACUCAAGAUGGAAAGAGGCACGCUCAGACAGUCGGCGCGAUCCACUCCUGUUGUCCUCGCCAUGGUAACGAGUGUAUCCGGACGCAGCAAGAUGGCGCCUACCCGUGUGGUCGCCUCGGUGACGCGCUCUCUAGUAUUGUUUUUGUUUUUGUGUUUUUCGUUCGUCUUUGGAGACAUGACGCGACUCACUCACACAAGGGGAGACUUGCCAACCAUCAAGGAGGCUACUCCCGACUUUCUUUCACCAACUUUCGCAAAUCCGCUCAGUUUUUCCCCGAGUUACUCACCGGAGCGGCGACCGCGGUCUUUGGCGCGUGGAGACGGAGGCGGCGCCACAGAGGGAAGCGAGCCGGCAUCCAGGUGAAACUCCGCAAGAGAGGAUACGGAUUGGCGUUCCCGUCGAUCCACCUCGCGAAUCUACGCUCCCUACCCAACAAAACGGACGAGCUUCAUCUUCUGUUAAAGACCACUCGGCGGAGCAGGAAGAAACUAAUUCUUGCUGGGGGAGUUUGGUCAUGUGACUCGCUGAGGAAAGCAAAACGCAGCAAACAUUCGGAACAUGAACCAAGUCGCAGUGUCGCGCGCAUGUCACGUCCGUGCACGUUGCUCAUGUCGAAUUUCAAGCCAUUUGCAAUCUGGGUUCAAGCAAAUUUCUCCCACAAUGCAACACUUCAAUUGGACAAUUCAAGGGAUGAAGACGAGGAUGAGGAGGACGCCAGCGGGACCCGCUGUGACGUGGCGCCGAGGCGUUGCCGUGAUCACCACAUGGGACACGAAGAUGAAGACGAGGAAGACUGGUGUCAUUUUUUUUCCCGCAUGCUGGUUGCCGUAGCAACGACAUCUGCUGAGUAAAGGUCAACUCGCAUGACCACGAUGACCGCCUCCUGUCCGCUUACGGCCAGCGACGUGACCUUCGGUUGACCGGGAUGGUUGCCAGGCAACGCCCAAAAACACGGGCCUGUGUGCGAGCGCAGAUGAAGAGCAAAAUUGGGGAUGAGCACCUCGCCUCCACGAAAGAUGCACAGUCCGCAAACACACACACACACACACGUACACGUGCCAGCUUAUGUGGCACUUGCCCAUAAUAGCAGAACAAUAUGUUUCAGAUUUUUUUGCCAAUUCAACUGCAAGAGUCUGAAAAAGCUUGUAAACUUCUGAACAAAGUGUACGAUAUUGUUUUUUAGCAAACUACUUCCAUAGAAAAAUAACCAACAAUCAGAGUGAGGAAAAACAAAAUAUUUUUAUGACCAAUUUACAGCCAAAGGUUGACAAGUGGUUGAAAUAAAUAUUCCCACACUUUUA